rnacentral:tRNA from 1 species
CUAAAUGUAUUUUAUAUAAAAUAUGGAAUUGUGGUUUCUGUGAAAUCUUAACUAGAUCAUUUAGU